rnacentral:rRNA from 1 species
CCUACGGGAGGCAGCAGUGGGGGAUAUUGCACAAUGGGGGAAACCCUGAUGCAGCGACGCCGCGUGGGCGAAGAAGUAUUUCGGUAUGUAAAGCCCUAUUAGCAGGGAAGAAGAAAUGACGGUACCUGAGUAAGAAGCACCGGCUAAAUACGUGCCAGCAGCUGCGGUAAUACGUAGGGUGCAAGUGUUACCCGGAUUUACUGGGUGUAAAGGGAGCGCAGGCGGCACGGCAAGCCUGAUGUGAAAGUCCGCGGCCCAACCGCGGGACUGCAUUGGGAACUACCGGGCUGGAGUGCGGGAGAGGUAGGCGGAAUUCGUAGUGUAGCGGUGAAAUGCGUAGAUAUUAGGAGGAACACCGGUGGCGAAGGCGGCCUACUGGACGGUGACUGACGCUGAGGCUCGAAAGCGUGGGGAGCGAACAGGAUUAGAUACCCCUGUAGUC